rnacentral:rRNA from 1 species
CAGUUGUGAGGAAGGUGGUGUCGUUAAUAGCGGCAUCAUUUGACGUUAGCAACAGAAGAAGCACCGGCUAACUCCGUGCCAGCAGCCGCGGUAAUACGGAGGGUGCGAGCGUUAAUCGGAAUUACUGGGCGUAAAGACGCAUGCAGGUGGUUUGGUUUAAGUUCAGAUGUGAAAGACCCGGGGCGUCAACCUCGGAAACUGCAUUUGAAACUAGGCAGACUAGAGUACUGUAGAGGGGGGUAGGAAGUUUCAGGUGUAGCGGUGAAAUGCGUAGAGAUCUGAAGGAAUACCGGUGGCGAAGGCGGCCCCCUGGACAGAUACUGACACUCAGAUGCGAAAGCGUGGGGAGCAAACAGGAUUAGAUACCCUGGUAG